rnacentral:rRNA from 12 species
AGCAGUAGCAACAGCACCUAAGUAUGAGUACCUGAUAGUGUCUGAUCUCAGAAGCUAAGUAGGGCUGUGCCUGGUUAGUACUUGAAUGGGAGACUUGGAGGACCAGGGUCCACUAGAC